CACAUCCACACACUUCUUAGGGUGAGGCUAGAGCAGCAACCAAGGUCUGCUUGUGAGGAAAUAUGUAAGAACAUGUUUAGCAGUCACUGUUGGGCCCUGCCCCAUCCCCUGGAACUUUCCUAUUUCAAGGCAGUUGCUGGCACAUACAUCUCUCUACCUCAAGGCUUUCUCUACCUGUUGGAGCCUUCCCUGAUCUCCAGAAGUGGUAGGGAAUAAACACCCCUCUGCUUCCUCCCCUCAGGAGUUCUCCACCAGUGACAGCCAUUGGAGAAUAGGUGUCCAACACCCUUACCCCUCUGGUGAGAUAUCUCUGACACAGAAACAGUGGAAAUAGUGUAUUCCACACUGUGUCUGAGAAUUUGGCAGCAAGAGUAAGUUUUUCUCAUAUCCACCAACAAACUGGAUACCCUCUAGACUAGCUUUAUUUGCCUUCCCCUGAGUUAUCCCCUACAUCUGUUGCCUCUGUUUCCAGGAUGAUCACCCAAAUAAACUACCUGCAUGGAAAGCUGUCUGAGGGAACCAAAACUAAGAUGGCACAUACAUGAGUUUGGAUUGUACACUGAGGGCAGUGACAACUGAUGAGGUACUGACUAAACUAUAGUUCACAGUGUUCUUCUAGAGAUCUGAGCUAUCUUGCUCUUGCCUUUCCACCAUCAGUGUUAGAGUUUGAAUCCAAUCAGAGCAGCAAGUGCCAUGCCUCAUUCUCCACAGUUACUCCCAGAGCAGCACCAGGCACAGUGGGCUCCCUCCAGCCUCCCCUCCACAACAGCCUCCUCACCUUGCUUCCCACCAGGAGUGAUGGCUAUGAAGCUGGCACCCUAGAGGCCUUGGUUACCCAGAGACAUGUUGGCUGCUUGGAAAUGCCUGAAGUUUAAGCAUCCAAUCCUGCAGAGGGCAUCACUUCUGUAAUAGAAAACAUCUAGAAGAGGUGAAGCUCUGGACAACACCUGACUGACUGCCUGUGAGUUCUGAGCCCAGGGAUCAAAGUUCAAAGAUCAAAGUUCAAAGCCUCAGCAACCUAACUUCUGCAGGAUCACUGAGAAAGCCCUGGAAAAGACCCCCAAAGACUGCACUGCUUCUAUCAAGAGAAUCCUAAACUCUCUACCUUGCCCAUGAACACCUGUGCCUAUGGACAUGCUGAGGAGGCCCAGAACAAGUCAAGAAGCAAUAAGAACAGGCAGCAGGACAAAUGGCAGCAAGGCCUUGAGCACCGCUCUUGGAACUACUUCAGAAAGAGUGAGAGUCCAAGCUGGCAUUAUGGUAGAAGUGGAGCCGAGUCCCUGACACUCUUGUGUAACGUUCUGCUCCCUUCUCGCGAGACGUAGUCAGAAUAAACAGACUGAACACACUGUUCUAUUGUCCUAUAUUCCUGAAGCUAGCUACUCCAAGAUCUAUGUCCUUUACCAGGCUGCAAAUUGGUAAAAAGGAAGCAAGCUUAAGAUCAGCAAACCUCUUGCUUCUCUCCUUUAGCAAUCAUGCAGAUUUGCUUUCUUCUGCUAUUAAAACACAAAAACAAAGAACUGGGGGAUAGCUUAG
rnacentral:lncRNA from 1 species